rnacentral:rRNA from 1 species
CCUACGGGCGGCAGCAGUGAGGAAUAUUGGUCAAUGGACGAGAGUCUGAACCAGCCAAGUAGCGUGAAGGAUGACUGCCCUAUGGGUUGUAAACUUCUUUUAUAUGGGAAUAAAAUGUUCCACGUGUGGGAUUUUGUAUGUACCAUAUGAAUAAGGAUCGGCUAACUCCGUGCCAGCAGCCGCGGUAAUACGGAGGAUCCGAGCGUUAUCCGGAUUUAUUGGGUUUAAAGGGAGCGUAGGUGGAUUGUUAAGUCAGUUGUGAAAGUUUGCGGCUCAACCGUAAAAUUGCAGUUGACCCUGGCAGUCUUGAGUACAGUAGAGGUGGGCGGAAUGCGUGGUGUAGCGGUGAAAUGCUUAGAUAUCACGAAGAACUCCGAUUGCGAAGGCAGUUCACUGGACUGCAACUGACACUGAGGCUCGAAAGUGUGGGUAUCAAACAGGAUUAGAUACCCGAGUAGUC